AUUUAUUUCUCAAAAUCUGAGACAUUUCUCGAAAGAAGACGUACAGAUGGCAAACAGGCAAAUGAAAAGGUGCUCAGCAUCAUUGAUCAUCAGAGAAAUGCAAAUCAGAACUGCAGUAAGAUGUCAUCUCACCCUAGUUCAAAUGGUUUC